rnacentral:rRNA from 1 species
UACGGAGGGGGCAAGCGUUAUCCGGAAUCACUGGGUUUAAAGGGUGCGUAGGCGGCCUGAUAAGUCAGGGGUGAAAGCUCACCGCUCAACGGUGGAACUGCCUUUGAUACUGUCAGGCUCGAAUCGGCGCGAGGCAGGCGGAAUGUGGCAUGUAGCGGUGAAAUGCUUAGAUAUGCCAUAGAACACCGAUUGCGAAGGCAGCUUGCCAGAGCCUUGAUUGACGCUGAGGCACGAAAGCGUGGGGAGCGAACAGG